GAGUGCGAUCAUACCAGCACUAAAGCACCGGAUCCCAUCAAAACUCCAAAGUUAAGCGUGCUUGGGCCAGAGUAGUACUGGGAAGUCCUCAUGUUGCAUUCC
rnacentral:rRNA from 1 species